rnacentral:rRNA from 1 species
CCUACGGGAGGCAGCAGUGAGGAAUAUUGGUCAAUGGUCGGGAGACUGAACCAGCCAAGCCGCGGGAGGGAUGAAGGUACAGAGUAUCGUAAACCUCUUUUGUCAGGGAACAAAGGCGGGGACGUGUCCCCGGAUGAGUGUACCUGAAGAAAAAGCAUCGGCUAACUCCGUGCCAGCAGCCGCGGUAAUACGGAGGAUGCGAGCGUUAUCGGGAUUUAUUGGGUUUAAAGGGUGCGCAGGCGGUCUGUUAAGUCAGCGGUCAAACCCCGGGGCACAACCCCGGCCCGCCGUUGAAACUGGCAGUCUCGAGUUGGAGAGAAGUAUGCGGAAGGCGCGGUGUAGCGGUGAAAUGCAUAGAUAUCGCGCAGAACUCCGAUUGCGAAGGCAGCAUGCCGGCUCCACACUGACGCUGAGGCACGAAAGCGUGGGUAUCGAACAGGAUUAGAUACCCCAGUAGUC